rnacentral:sRNA from 1 species
GCUGGGCGUGGUGUGCACACCUGUAAUCCCAGCAGCAUGGGAGGUUGAGGCAGGAGGAUCUGGUGUUCAAAGCCAGCCUCAGCAAUGAGGAGACACUAAGUAACUCAGUGAGACCCUGUCUCUA